AAUACCCUCGUGUUAUAUGAAUCCAAGAGCUUGGCAUCUGGAAAACGGAGACAUACAAAAUGGUAGGAACUGGUGUCAUUGAUGCAUCACUGACACCACUGAACUAAUCAGGGCUUGUUUAAUUAGGAGCACAUCUAUUUUGCCCAAUUGUUUUCCAUUUAUAUGUGGGAAUCCCUCAUAUAUUUUUUCAUUUUAGAAGGCCGUUUUGUAACUCUGAAGAGUUACAUGUUUUCUUCGUGUCCCCACGUUUAGUUUUUCAAACCUGAAACAAGUGCAAACACAGCUUUAAACUGUUACACACCCUCUCAAUUAAAUUAACCAAUAUUAAACCUCACAAAGGCAUCAAGUAGCAAUACCAGCAAGUUUCACUUGCGAUCAUUAGAGAAGCUCGAAAGCUUUCUUUCCAUGUUACCAGCUCUCUGAGUAAUGCAGUUUUGCGCAAGCUGGAGCCAGAAGUGGGAUAAAAUAAGGAGCCUGUGCUCAUGGGCAGUGUCCUGUGGUGGGUGAGCUGGUGGUUGUGGAGUCAGCUUUUUGGGCAAUCAGCAGGUGGGCAUUUGUCAUCUGGUUUCCUCAACCCUCCAGAGAACCAACCCUCUUCUCCAGCUGCUGAGAAAAAGCUGAAUCACCCGUGAUACCCCCAGUAAGAGCUGAUUAAAAAGAGGAUGUCCUUCUUAUAGCAGCUAUGUUGUUGUAAAAGUGAUGAUAUGGGAAGAGGUGCUACUGGACAGUAGUACUGAGACACCGAGUGGAAGCUGGUCAGUGCGGUGACUGAUGCAGAGUGGGAAGUCGGUGACAGCACUGCAGGCUGAAAGAUACUCCAGACUGGAGCCUGGCAAGGAGCUAGGAGCAUAGAGAAGAAAAAGAAGGAAGAAACUACAGAGAAGAAAGUGCAGAAGAGUUUCUAAUUCCUGUAGGAAUCUGUGCCUGACACAUUGGGUCUGCAGGAGCCCAAAGCUCUGCUCAGCCCCAUGAAACCUGGUUGCUUAAGUGCCAGGAUCCCUUCUGAGUAAAUCCCUCACCAUUUAGAGAAGGUGCUGGACUGAGUUGUGCAAGUACAUCUGUUCUCAGGGUGUCUCUGACAGUUGGGGGACUCAUUGUGACACAGGGUGAGCUGUGGUGAGGCUGAAUCGUGGUACUGAAGGAGAAGUGUCAUUGGGUCGUGUCACACGCCGUGAGGAUGUGUGGGGACCAUGGCCCAGGGCACAGAGAGCUUAAAGCCCAACCUUGUAGGAUGGAGGGUCACAGAAAAGUUGGGACUUAAUUUUUAAUGAUUUAUAGCUGUAUUUUUGGGGCAGAAUUCACUUUUUAUUUUUGCAUUUAGAUGUAGAAGCAUACAAAAUAUUUCAGAUGUUACCAUAAGAGCAAGCAGCCUUUCUGUGAGUGCUUCUGCAGGGGAAAGUCUGUUCUGUGAAAUUAGCCAGGGGGACCGAACUUUGUGGUGGUGGAGCAGCUUGGUCUGAGCCUUUUUUCCCCAGGAAAAUUGAUAAAGUUAAAUCCUGCCAUCUUUACAGGCUCUCUGGGCAACAGCAACAGGCUGCUGCCUCUGCCUGUGUGCAGUGAGCCUCCCGCUACGCGAGCUGAUCCUGCCACGCUCGGCAGAGCAAGUCUGAACUGGGCGAAAUGAGCAGGAAAUGCCAGUUUCCAGCCCUCCCACAUGGCCCCGGGCUACUUUGCACACUAACUUUUUCAGCCUCUGGAGUUUUUACAGAUUAAUCCCUCACCGUCCCCACACCGAUUUUGGAUCAGCGCAGCGCUGCUGCUCGUGUGAUUUUGGAGACGUUUGCUGCACCGUGUUUAUUGGUCUGCCUGCUCCUCUCUCCCCUUUUUGGUAAUCCUCCGCUCUCCUGCAGGUAUCAACACGUACAGGAAAGCUUCGUCACAACAAAUAAUAGCCAAACAUGCCACUUUUUUUUUUUUUUCCAUCCGUCUGAAAUAGCGUGCUUUCAGAUCAGUCCCGGCGAAAACCGUCGGUGGGGCUGCAAAGAGGUGAAAGGUUUGUGAGUGUAGGAUUUUGUGGAAAUAUAUACUUGUUUGGACUUGGCCCAAGAGCUUCGUUUACCCGCUUGACAGGUAACAAUUAGCGAGCAAUAGCUCUGCUGGCUGGAAUGCAGCUGCAAGGGCCAGCAGGCGCUGGGUUACCAGGUGGGCAGGUGUGGGUGCAGCGCCCAGAUAGGUAUGUGCAUGCACAGCAUUCCUGGGAAUCAGCUUUCCCCUAAAGAUGCAGCAAUGACUGCAGGGCACAAAAGGGCUGGGCUUAGCCCGGGCUCAAAGACGGUGAGCUGUUUGCAAGGUAAAGGAGUAAAGUAAACAGCGGGAGAGAAGACAAGCUGAGGAAAAGGCUGAGAAGCAGCUGCCCCCUUUUUUUUUUUUUUCCAUCGAGAGGAGAGUUUUGAUUCCUUCUCAAAAAAUGAGAAUGUCACGGGAGAUAAAAAAGGAGGGAAAAGAUGAGAUAGGGUAGAGCUGAUUUGAGGAAAAGUGCAUGUCUGUCUAAAAGUUACACUACCAGGUGGCCAGCAUGGCUCAGGUGCUGCCGAAGGAUUGAUCUGCAAGGGUUUCGUGCACUGCUCCCCAGCACUGGCACAAUGGCUUAUAGCAGACCUGAGAAGCUCACUUGGCAUGGUAUAAAUGUGAAAUGGGGAAACCAUGCAUCAGUUGGCUUAGAAACACUUAAACAGCUUAUGUGCUCAGCCCUCAGCUCUGCCCUUAGCAUGAAUCCAGGCGCUGAUGAGUUUAUCGAAUAAAAGCACUUUGUGAAAAACAGCCCCGUCUCCAGCUCCUGCCAGCACCCUGCAUCAGCCCCUCCGAUAGUCCAGUCCCCAGAGGGAACCCGUGGGAUAACUUAUGUGGACUGUCAGGGAAUUUGCAGGUGUUUUUAAAAUGGUUGAUAUUUCUUCCUCACGGCAAGUAACCUUCUGUUUUAGGAACAAAAUCAUUUGCUGAUUCUUUUCAUAUUUUGUUUUCAUAUUUUUGUUCCCCUUUGUGAACAGGCUUUUGCAUUUGUGCAUUUUCACUUGCAUGUUUCAUGCUUGACAAGCAAGCUAUUGUGUGACUGGAGAAGCCACAUCCUCUUUCCUGCUCUCUAUAGUUUCACCUGUAGACUUAGAAUAGUGCGUCCCAUCUUCUUAACCACGAGAGACAGAUGAUAAGUACUGCUAGUUAUGUACACAUACGUCAUUAUAAAUCUCUAUUUAUUCAUAAAUCUCUGUUUAUUCAUAUCACACCGUAAUUCACUGUAACCUUAUUUCACUAAA